rfam:Glossina brevipalpis unplaced genomic scaffold Scaffold70, whole genome shotgun sequence.
GGUGGCUUUAGUACGUAGGCGCGAUGGAUGGUGAAUCGUGCAUGCUACUGGGACGGGGGACGGUCCGGUAGUAUCUCUGGAAGAUUUCCACC